rnacentral:rRNA from 1 species
GACGAACGCUGGCGGCGUGCCUAAUACAUGCAAGUCGAACGCUUCUUUCCUCCCGAGUGCUUGCACUCAAUUGGAAAGAGGAGUGGCGGACGGGUGAGUAACACGUGGGUAACCUACCCAUCAGAGGGGGAUAACACUUGGAAACAGGUGUUAAUACCGCAUAACAGUUUAUGCCGCAUGGCAUAAGAGUGAAAGGCGCUUUCGGGUGUCGCUGAUGGAUGGACCCGCGGUGCAUUAGCUAGUUGGUGAGGUAACGGCUCACCAAGGCCACGAUGCAUAGCCGACCUGAGAGGGUGAUCGGCCACACUGGGACUGAGACACGGCCCAGACUCCUACGGGAGGCAGCAGUAGGGAAUCUUCGGCAAUGGACGAAAGUCUGACCGAGCAACGCCGCGUGAGUGAAGAAGGUUUUCGGAUCGUAAAACUCUGUUGUUAGAGAAGAACAAGGACGUUAGUAACUGAACGUCCCCUGACGGUAUCUAACCAGAAAGCCACGGCUAACUACGUG